rnacentral:misc_RNA from 1 species
GCGGAAGGAUCAUUACUGAGUGGGGGCUGCCUCCGGGCCCCCAACCUCCCCCCCCUGAAUACCUAAUACUGUUGCUUUUCGGGGAACCCCCUCGGGGGCCAGCCGCCGGGGACUACUGAACUUCAUGCCUGAAUUGAUGCAGUCUGAGUCUGAAUAUAAAAUCAGUCAAAACUUUCUGCAAUGGAUCUCUUGGUUCCGGCGU